AUGGAUGCCCCUCAGGCUGCCCGGCCCUCCAGCCAUCCCUCCCUGCUCCAGUUUUUCAGAAGCCUCCUUGGGUACCCACGGAGCUUGCUGGGGGCACAGGAGCCCAGAGCAGAGAAGCAGGAGCAGGGUGCUGCUGUAGGGCCCCACAGCUGGCAGGCAGAGCAGGUUGAACCCACCCAUGGGGGGAUCCAGGAGCACUGCGAGGAUGAGGAGGGGGACAGCAUGGAGCUGCUGCUGGGGGAGCUGCGGGAGGUCAGCCUGCAGGGAUCGCUGGGCAGCAGCACCAGCAGGAGCUGCCUGACCACCAGCACCAGUGACGUGGAAGUGGCAGUGGAGCGCAAUGGGAUGGAGGCUCCUGGUGGCACCGUGACCCUGCAGAGCGAUGGGGCGGCCGGCGAGGAGAGAGGGGCUGCAGAUGAAGCCGUUGGCAGAGCUCUGGUGAUGGAUGAGUUCCUUCAAGGUCUGAGUGCUGCUGAUGAAGACACCUGCUCUGCAAGCCCUGAGCCGAUGUUUUCAAUGGAUCUUGACACUGAAUGGGAGAAAGGGCAUCUCCUGAAAGCAAAGCAGGGCGCAGGAUCCCCGAAAGCAGAGCUGUCCCUGUGGAACAGGUUCAUCAGUGUGAACAGACACCAAUGGACUUUGCGUAAGGCUCGUGCCUCGAGGAGUUCGAUGGAGCUGGAAAGCGAGGAGCAGCCGCUCCUGCGGGCAGAUGAGAGCAGCCCCACGAGCCCUCAGCUCCCCGUCCUGCCCGCAGAACCCUCUGCAGCACUGCCGGUGUACAGGUUUUCCAAAAGCAGAGCAGCCGCUGGUGGCUUUGGGAGAAGCCAGGCAGAGCUGGGAGCAAACAGAGCAGGAAUGCCUGGAGAAGGCUGAGAUGCAGCACCUGCAGAGGUGGGAGCAGCCCCACGGAGCCACACCGCCACUGCAGGAGACAUCAGUGCUUCCCCUCUGCUGUUCCCAACCUGCCCAGGAGCCCCGUGCUUCAUCUUCCUCCUCUUCUUUCCUUUGUGUUUAUCAUUCAUGUGCACACCACGUUUCCUUGCUGCUUUUUCCCUUUCCUUUUCCUUGGAGAAGGCCCUGCGUGUCUCACCACACCCAUGGGGUGGACAAGUUUGGUCUGAGGUGGUUUCAAUUGAACAUUUUGUGUGAAUGAGCUCUUCUUGCUUCUCCGUCUUUGCUCUCAAGUUCCCUCAUUAAACACAGAAUUCUCUGCUGAAUUCGUUUUUCUCCUUUCUUUCUUUCCUUCCACCUCCCAGUUUUUUUCACGUCUUCCACUUUCCUCUCUGUGGUUUUUAAGGUGUUUAUGGAUUAAUUUUUUAAUUUGGGGGUUAGAAAAGGCAAAGGAGAGGUGUGAUCCUCCGAUCCAUGAUGGUCCCCUGAUUGUUAAAGGUGACAAUCUUGUAUGCAGUGUUGGAGAGGAGUUGGAGGACCCCGACCCUGUAGAGGAGAAGACCCUCUGCUCUUCAUCUUCUGUUUGAGUACAUGGGAGAAACCAUGCGAGCAGGGCUGGAGGAGCUGCUGGCAGCCCGGCUCCUGCUAAUCUGGGAAUUGUAUGCCAGGAAGCACACACCCAGCCGACCUGCCCCAGACAAAGCCUGCCGUGUCCGCACCGGCUCUCCAGGCGUUCCCCGCGCGCCUUGGGUUAUUUCAGAGUUAUCCCAGCAUGGGUUCCCUCCCCAGACUUCCACCUGUGCUGGUUGCGGGGUUGGAGCGCAUUGCUCCCGGCAUGGCUCGCAUGCUCUCCUUCUGCAAAAUGGGGCUGUGCCAUCUAAACUCUCCUGGCCAACCUGAAAUACCAGUGGUGAGAGCGGGAUCCCCUCCCUGCUUGUCUUGCAGGUGUUCACUUUGGACCCUAACGAUGGCAAAUUAACCAGGGCCAUUGUUACUUUCUCUGGGUUGAGCAGAGCUAUUGCGUCAAUAGAAACAUCCCACAUCACCUCUCUGGUAGCAGAACUCUGCGUCCUUGAUGUGUCCUUAGAAACCUUCAGCUCCAAAUAAACUUCUGCGGGAUUUCCUGUAGAAAAGCACUAUAUAAAAUGUGGGUAUUCUUAGCAGUGCCCCUCUGCCAGGUCGUGUGUCACACACCAGCACCGGGCGAGGAGAUGCCAGGAGGAAGGGUUUGCCUCUGCUGAGUCACUUGGGUUACACACUGCCUUGGGAAGCAGCUGCUGUCAUCUGCUAAACGAGGGUUGCCAGAGCUGACCAAGUCAUUUCCACAGCAUUCAAGCAUCCCUGGGUAGGGCAGCCCUCAUCCCUGCACCAUUCCCACUGUGUGGGUGGGAAUUGGAGGGGUCUGCACGGAGCCACGCUUGGCACUGCAUGUGGUGGGUGGUGGGAGUGGGCAGGGUGUGUUCUGCUCUCCUCUAUCAGGGCAGAGCUGGGCCCACCGCCACGGUGAGCAGCUGCACGCUCACGUGGUGCUCCCACAUCCUGCACAACGUAUUUCAAGAGGUGCUAUUUACAAACACCAACACGGUGCUAGAGCAAGUGCUGCAACCUGCACGGCGUGGAGGAG
rnacentral:lncRNA from 1 species